GAACGCUGGCGGCGUGCUUAACACAUGCAAGUCGAGCGGAAAGGCCCUUCGGGGUACUCGAGCGGCGAACGGGUGAGUAACACGUGAGCAACCUGCCCCAGGCUUUGGGAUAACCCCGGGAAACCGGGGCUAAUACCGAAUAUGACCUCCGAUCGCAUGGUUGGUGGUGGAAAGUUUUUCGGCUUGGGAUGGGCUCGCGGCCUAUCAGCUUGUUGGUGGGGUGAUGGCCUACCAAGGCGACGACGGGUAGCCGGCCUGAGAGGGCGACCGGCCACACUGGGACUGAGACACGGCCCAGACUCCUACGGGAGGCAGCAGUGGGGAAUAUUGCACAAUGGGCGGAAGCCUGAUGCAGCGACGCCGCGUGAGGGAUGACGGCCUUCGGGUUGUAAACCUCUUUCAGCAGGGACGAAGCGUAAGUGACGGUACCUGCAGAAGAAGCGCCGGCCAACUACGUGCCAGCAGCCGCGGUAAGACGUAGGGCGCGAGCGUUGUCCGGAUUUAUUGGGCGUAAAGAGCUCGUAGGCGGC
rnacentral:rRNA from 1 species